rnacentral:rRNA from 1 species
UACGUAGGGUGCAAGCGUUGUCCGGAAUUAUUGGGCGUAAAGAGCGUGUAGGCGGCCUGAAAGGUCAGCUGUGAAAACUCGAGGCUCAACCUCGAGACGUCGGUUGAAACCAUCUGGCUAGAGUCCGGAAGAGGAGAGUGGAAUUCCCGGUGUAGCGGUGAAAUGCGCAGAUAUCGGGAAGAACACCCGUGGCGAAGGCGGCUCUCUGGGACGGUACUGACGCUGAGACGCGAAAGCGUGGGGAGCGAACAGG